GGAAUGUCAUAGCGCCAUAGAACAUAGAAUAUCUGAUUUGGAAGGGACCCACAAGGAUCAUUAAGUCCAACUCCUGGGUCCCCAAAGGACCACCAAAAAAAAUUAGACAACAUGCCUGAGAGUGUUGUCCAAAUUCUUCUUGAAUUCCGUCAGGCUUGGUGCUGUGAUCACUUUCCUGGGGAAAGUGGUCAUGCUACUGAUGUUGGCUUGCUUCCAAGAUGAACUAGAUUCUGUGGACGGGUGGAUUCCUAAGUAACCAGCAACUGUCACUCAAGAAGGCAGUUUCUUUGCUGAUAUUCUUCUGGCCACAGGUGUCAGAAAUGUAUACCCAACAAGUCUGCUAACAGGAAAAUAAGACGUUUGGGAAAAAUGGAGGAUCUUCUCUCUGUUCCUCUCCUUGUACCCAAGAAACAGUACCCAAGAAACAGUACCCAAGAAACAUCAGGCAUGACUGAAGACAUGAAAAUUGCAUUCAUCAACAACUGAGGAUUUGAGGAAAGAAAGACAAAUGAGUCCAAAGAUUACAGCAAGACCUACAGCAUCAACCAAUAGGAUUUUACUCCAGUGGAGGUAGCAGCACGUGUUCCAGUUCACCACUCCUGUUACAAGAGUGGUAAUAUUGGGCAUAUUUCCACUCAAGUGAUUCAACAGGAAUGUUUACCUACUACCUGGGCCCACCUUGAAAACUCCGUAUAAUACAUUACUGAUUGUAAUUUCUCUGUGGAUGCAGAGAAAGUCACAAGAAGGUAUCUAGAUGUUCAACUCUCUAAUGGAAAAACUACAGCUGUUCUGG
rnacentral:lncRNA from 1 species